AACGAUGACGACGAAAUCCUUUUCCUUUGCCCUCCUCCGCCACUGCAUCUUACACUCGGAAUUGUAAAUACGAUCUUCAAGGGAGUAGAGAAGAAUUCUCCCGAUUGGGCAGAUUUGUGGGUGAGCCAAGCCAACGUACGACAUCAGCAGAAAACAUAUGGUUUUACAGGCCGGGCUUGUCACGCGCUAUUGAAGGCGGCUGAUUGCUUGGAACUUAAUUCUGAUUUACUUGGUUACGCUAAGGCUCUGAAGAAGUUCAACGACGUAUAUAAUAAGUGUUUCUCAUUUAAACUAGAUGCUAGUUUUGAAGAAAGUAUCCACGAAUUUGUGUCUAGCUGGGAAGACCUUCAGCUACCUAAUA